ensembl:snoRNA
AGCACUUGUGCUUGUUUUUAUUUAACUUGUGGACAAAGACUUAUAGAUGGGUGCAAAAAUAAAUCCUUUUUUGCAACCCAGAACUCAUUGUUCAGUAUGAGUUUUGACACAGAUGAGAAGGAAUAUG